rnacentral:rRNA from 1 species
GAUGAACGCUAGCGGCAGGCUUAACACAUGCAAGUCGAGGGGCAGCACGGGUAGCAAUACCUGGUGGCGACCGGCGCAAGGGUGCGUAACGCGUGAGCAACAUGCCCUAUACAGGGGGAUAAUCCAGGGAAACUUGGUCUAAUAUCCCAUAGUAUUUAGAGGAGGCAUCUUCUAUAAAUUAAAGCUUCGGUGGUAUAGGAUUGGCUCGCGUGACAUUAGCUGGAUGGUGGGGUAACGGCUCACCAUGGCGAUGAUGUCUAGGGGUUCUGAGAGGAAGACCCCCCAACUGGGACUGAGACACGGCCCAGACUCCUACGGGAGGCAGCAGUGAGGAAUAUUGGACAAUGGAUGGAAAUCUGAUCCAGCCAUGCCGCGUGCAGGAAGACGGCCCUAUGGGUUGUAAACUGCUUUUAUAUGGGAUCGAAUAAGGUUUACGCGUAGACCGAUGAGAGUACCAUAUGAAUAAGCAUCGGCUAACU